GAGGGUGCGAGCGUUAAUCGGAAUUACUGGGCGUAAAGCGCAUGCAGGUGGUUUGUUAAGUCAGAUGUGAAAGCCCGGGGCUCAACCUCGGAAUUGCAUUUGAAACUGGCAGACUAGAGUACUGUAGAGGGGGGUAGAAUUUCAGGUGUAGCGGUGAAAUGCGUAGAGAUCUGAAGGAAUACCGGUGGCGAAGGCGGCCCCC
rnacentral:rRNA from 1 species